rnacentral:rRNA from 1 species
UACGUAGGGUGCAAGCGUUGUCCGGAAUUAUUGGGCGUAAAGAGCUCGUAGGCGGUCUGUCGCGUCGGCUGUGAAAACCUGGGGCUUAACUCCGGGCCUGCAGCCGAUACGGGCAGACUAGAGUUCGGCAGGGGAGACUGGAAUUCCUGGUGUAGCGGUGAAAUGCGCAGAUAUCAGGAGGAACACCAGUGGCGAAGGCGGCUCACUGGCCCGGUACUGACGCUGAGGUGCGAAAGCGUGGGGAGCAAACAGG